rnacentral:lncRNA from 1 species
UUAGAUUUCAGGAGAGAGAAGGUUGGUGAAAUGUCUUCUUUGCCCUCGUCUUCAACCUCUAGCCCUUUGCCGAUAUUUGUCAUAGCACACUACCACCGAUGCAGCCCUUUCCUGUGAGAGAAUACCAUGAGAUUGGCUGGCUCGAAGUGCGAGAAACCCACGGCCAACACGAAGGUGAUGAACAUUCGGGUUCGCAUGGAGGUGAGAAUCACUUUAAGAAGCGUCACACCACUUUCUCUCUCCCUUGUUUGCUCUGAGGUCGUUGUGCAUGUAGCAAGCCAUCAUAGCUAUUUUUUCCACUGGCAAGAACCACCUGAAGAACCAAUGGUCUAGGCGAGCGGGUGGUUGAAGGAGGAAAGGGAUGAAUCGGCAGCGACAAUGUGUUAUGGCAAUAUCAGCAAAAGGUUGGAGGUUGAACUGUUGAAGACGAGGGCAAAGAAGACAUUUCACCAACCAUCUCUCUCCUGAAAUCUAAGCAAUUAAUAAAAUAAUCGGCAUAGUGUGUCUCGACAAAGAAACACAAAUUUAUAAUGGUACCUAGCAUAUUUCGCCGUUUGUCGUGUGUAGUGGCCAAUUACAGCUUUUUCUAGUGCCCUACAGCAAAAUUUGCCUAAAAUGUAACGACUUAGUUAUUUGGAGGUGCUCAGCAUAGAGGUAGUAGUGUGUACGUGCUUUCAUAGUAUGUGGCCAUCUAUGUGAACAUCUAUAUCUGUGUUGUAACUCAAAAAGAAAUUGUUUCUUUUAAAGCACAUGAAAAUAGAAUAUUGUUUUAAAGUUAUUAUAUAUUCGACAAUGAGGUUUGAAUAUGGAAGAGGGGG